rnacentral:rRNA from 1 species
UACAGAGGUCCCAAGCGUUGUUCGGAUUCACUGGGCGUAAAGGGUGCGUAGGUGGUGAGGUAAGUUUGAUGUGAAAUCUCCGGGCUUAACCCGGAAAUGGCAUUGAAUACUAUCUCGCUAGAGAGUCGGAGGGGGGACUGGAAUACUUGGUGUAGCAGUGAAAUGCGUAGAUAUCAAGUGGAACACCAGUGGCGAAGGCGAGUCCCUGGACGACUUCUGACACUGAGGCACGAAAGCUAGGGGAGCAAACAGG